rnacentral:rRNA from 1 species
GACAGCAGUAGCCACGGUAAUACAGAGGUCUCAAGCGUUGUUCGGAUUCAUUGGGCGUAAAGGGUGCGUAGGUGGCGGUGUAAGUCUAACGUGAAAUCUCGGGGCUCAACCUCGAAAUUGCGUCGGAUACUGCAUUGCUAGAGGAUUGUAGAGGAGAGUGGAAUUCAUGGUGUAGCAGUGAAAUGCGUAGAUAUCAUGAGGAAGACCAGUUGCGAAGGCGACUCUCUGGGCAAUUCCUGACACUGAGGCACGAAGGCUAGGGGAGCAAACGGGAUUAGAUACCCCCGUAGUCCCUGUCUCUUAUAC